GACGAACGCUGGCGGCGUGCUUAACACAUGCAAGUCGAACGGAAAGGCCCUGCUUUUGUGGGGUGCUCGAAUGGCGAACGGGUGAGUAACACGUGAGUAACCUGCCCUUGACUUUGGGAUAACUUCAGGAAACUGGGGCUAAUGCCGGAUAGGAGCUCCUGCUGCAUGGUGGGGGUUGGAAAGUUUCGGCGGUUGGGGAUGGACUCGCGGCUUAUCAGCUUGUUGGUGGGGUAGUGGCUUACCAAGGCUUUGACGGGUAGCCGGCCUGAGAGGGUGACCGGCCACAUUGGGACUGAGAUACGGCCCAGACUCCUACGGGAGGCAGCAGUGGGGAAUAUUGCACAAUGGGCGGAAGCCUGAUGCAGCAACGCCGCGUGCGGGAUGACGGCCUUCGGGUUGUAAACCGCUUUCGCCUGUGACGAAGCGUGAGUGACGGUAAUGGGUAAAGAAGCACCGGCUAACUACGUG
rnacentral:rRNA from 1 species